CAAAACAAAAUUACAUUUUAGAAAACAAAUUAACAAGAUGUGAAACACUUUUACAAACGCCAAAACAAAUUUACAAUCUAUAUCAACCGGAAAGGGAAUGUCCCAUCUCUGGGAUUGACCCGGAAGUGAAGCAAGAGCAAACAGUUGAAAU